UACAGGGGGGGCAAGCGUUGUUCGGAAUUACUGGGCGUAAAGGGUUCGUAGGUGGCCAACUUAGUCAGACGUGAAAUCCCUCGGCUUAACCGGGGAACUGCGUCUGAUACUGGAUGGCUUGAGUGUGGGAGAGGGAUGUAGAAUUCCAGGUGUAGCGGUGAAAUGCGUAGAUAUCUGGAGGAAUACCGGUGGCGAAGGCGGCAUCCUGGACCAUUACUGACGCUGAGGCGCGAAAGCUAGGGGAGCAAACGGG
rnacentral:rRNA from 1 species